rnacentral:rRNA from 1 species
GAUGAACGCUGGCGGCGUGCCUAAUACAUGCAAGUAGAACGCUGAAGGAGUAGAUUGCUCUUUCUGGAUGAGUCGCGAACGGGUGAGUAACGCGUUGGUACGCUGCCUGGUAGUGGGGGAUGACUAUUGUAAACGAUAGCUAAUACCUAAUAACAGUAGACAUUGCAUGAUAUCUGCUUGAAAGGGGCAAUUGCUCCACUACCAGAUGGACCUGCGUUGUAUUAGCUAGUUGGGGAGGUAACGGCCCACCAAGGCGACGGUACAUAGGCGGCCUGAGAGGGUGGUCCGCCCAACUGGGAAUUGGACACGGCCCAGGAUCCCACGGGAGGCAGCAGGAGGGGAUCAUCGGACAUGGACGGAAGUCUGAACGCACAACGCCGGGUGAGUUAAGAAGGUUUUCGGAUCGUAAAGCUCUGUUGUAAGGGAAGAACGAGUGUGAGGGUAGAAAGUUCACACUGUGACGUUAUCUAAACAGAAAGGAACGGCUAACUACGUG